rnacentral:rRNA from 1 species
CCUAAUACAUGCAAGUCGAACGAAUCUCUUUUAGAGAUGAGUGGCGAACGGGUGAGUAAUACAUAGGUAACCUGCCCCUGUGCGGGGGAUAACAGGAGGAAACUCCUGCUAAUACCGCAUAGCCAUGAGCACCGCAUGGAGCUCAUGCCAAAUAUCCUUUCGGGGAUAGCGCAGGGAUGGACCUAUGGCGCAUUAGCUGGUUGGCGGGGCAACGGCCCACCAAGGCAACGAUGCGUAGCCGGCCUGAGAGGGCGGACGGCCACAUUGGGACUGAGACACGGCCCAGACUCCUACGGGAGGCAGCAGUAGGGAAUUUUCGGCAAUGGGGGAAACCCUGACCGAGCAACGCCGCGUGAGCGAAGAAGGCCUUCGGGUCGUAAAGCUCUGUUGUAAAGGAAGAACGGCGCAUACAGGAAAUGGUAUGCGAGUGACGGUACUUUACCAGAAAGCCACGGCUAACUACGUGCCAGCAGCCGCGGUAAUACGUAGGUGGCGAGCGUUAUCCGGAAUCAUUGGGCGUAAAGAGGGAGCAGGCGGCCGCAAGGGUCUGUGGUGAAAGACCGAAGCUAAACUUCGGUAAGCCAUGGAAACCGGGCGGCUAGAGUGCGGAAGAGGAUCGUGGAAUUCCAUGUGUAGCGGUGAAAUGCGUAGAUAUAUGGAGGAACACCAGUGGCGAAGGCGACGGUCUGGGCCGCAACUGACGCUCAUUCCCGAAAGCGUGGGGAGCAAAUA